UUUCUCAAAAAUAAAAGUUUAAUUGCUCGAAGUCAAAGUGAUUCCUUUAAUUCAAAAGUUUUUUCUCGUGUUUCCAAUGUAAAAAUUAAAAGUUCUUCCAUUUAACAUCAAAAUUGUAGAACUGUCAAAUCACUAAACGGUGAACUUUGAGCAAAAAGAGAAAUGGAAUAAAAAUUAUUUUCUCCGUUUCCCAUGGGCACUAUGGAAUGUUAGAUGGUAAAAAUAAAUUAAAUUCAUUGAAUUAUUUAAAAUGUAUAGAUGACCUGCAUUUUUCUAUACCUACUUUUUUAUAUUUACCUUAUUAUGUUUAAUUCAGAUUAUGACUCACGAGCUUCAUUACGCAUCAAAGUGGUGAAAGGAAACUGAAUGUAUGAGUAUUGGUAUGAAGUUGUAUUUUUUCAUAUGAUGAAUGGUAUAAUCUGAAUAUAUUAUAACAAACAUAAUAUUUUUCUGAAUUAUUGGACAAGAAAGUUUUUUAUAUUAUAAAAUACUUUCUUGCCCAUUAGUUCAGAAAAAUACCCAUAGUGCCUCUCAACGUUUUCACUUUGGUGCUUUCGCUGUCAACGUUUCUCCCUCCCAGUCUAACAGUGGAGAGCAAAACAAAAAGUAUUGUUUUGUGCGGUUGGCCUACAGAAUAAUAUUUAUCCUAUUUAUCUCUAAUAAGAGUGGCAACUGGCACUGAUCAUCCGAUCAUCCCGGAAUACUCAGAUAAUUGCCAGGAGGAUUAUUCCGCAAUGUCUACAGAUAGCUACGAUGCGCACCCUUAUCCUCGCCACGGUCUGGACCCAGGGCUGAAACACUCAAAGUGGUCACCGUGAUGCGGGAGGUGCGCAGCUUCGGGUGCUGCAGGUGGCGUGAUAAAAAUACUAUAGAAGUAAUAAAAUGAAAAGAUAAAGCUAA